GCCGGGCGUGGUGGCGGGCGCCUGUAGUCCCAGCUACUCGGGAGGCUGAGGCAGGAGAAUGGCGUGAACCCAGGAGGUGGAGCUUGCAGUGAGCCGAGAUCGCGCCACUGCACUCCAGCCUGGGUGACAGAGUGAGACUCCUUCUCAAAAAAAAAAAAAAAAGACAGGCUCUCACUUUGUUGCCCAAGCUGGAGUGCAGUGGUGCGAUCUGGGUUCACUGCCACCUCUGCUUCCCAGGUACAAGCGAUUCUCGUGCCUCAG
rnacentral:SRP_RNA from 1 species